CAACAAGUAAACCAAACGCACAAAAGCCCUUCGACCUUUCUGCUCCUUCUCGCGGUCGUCAUAAGCAUAGAUGAGGUCCUUGAGCUGGGCCCCACGGAGCUGUCCCGUACGGACACCAAGGACAAAGCUGAUAGCAUCCAUUAAGUUAGACUUGCCAGCGCCAUUGGGGCCAAUUAUGGCAGUGAAGUCCUUAAAAGGACCAAUUGUUUGGAGACCCUUGUAAGACUUGAAAUUCUCCAUCUCUAAUUGGAGGAUCUUGCCGGAGGAGAUCAUUGAGGGCAUGAUUUUGGAGAGAGAGAUGGAGAGCUAGGGUUUUGAGUUCGAAAUGUUUUGGAGGGAAGAUUCAAAAAGGAUGAAGAAGCUAGGGUUUGACAGAGUAGAACAGUUGAUUUCUUCGCUGGUUGCAGUGCAAAAGAGUGGUUUUGC
rnacentral:lncRNA from 1 species